rnacentral:lncRNA from 1 species
CUACACAUGUUAAUUUAUUAGUCAUACAUCCGCGAGAUUAGCCUGCAUCGGUUUACACAGUCUUCCUGUAAUUUGAUAUUUGUUGGGAUAAGAUAGAGCAAGUUUAUAAAUACUUUACACAAAGGGAGGGAUCCGCAACAUGGAAAUAUUAACGGAGUUGAAGAAUCAUGCAAAACUGACGAAACUUGAAAGUUUCAAUUAUCGGAUUACUUUUUGGACUUAUUGUAUUUGACUUACGUCGUCAUAAUAUAAAAUAAAGAUGAUAAAAUA